CUACGGGUUGCUGCAGUGAGGAAUAUUGCACAAUGGGGGGAACCCUGAUGCAGCAACGCCGCGUGGAGGAUGACGCAUUUCGGUGUGUAAACUCCUUUUAUAUGUCAGGAAAAUGACGGUAGCAUAUGGAUAAGCACCGGCUAACUCCGUGCCAGCAGCCGCGGUAAUACGGAGGGUGCAAGCGUUACUCGGAAUCACUGGGCGUAAAGGACGCGUAGGCGGGUUGGAAAGUCAGGUGUGAAAUCCUACAGCUUAACUGUAGAACUGCACUUGAAACUUCUAAUCUAGAGUAUGGGAGGGGGAGAUGGAAUUAGUGGUGUAGGGGUAAAAUCCGUAGAUAUCACUAGGAAUACCUAAAGCGAAGGCGAUCUCCUGGAACAUUACUGACGCUAAGGCGUGAAAGCGUGGGGAGCAAACAGGAUUAGAUACCCCUGUAGUC
rnacentral:rRNA from 1 species